rnacentral:rRNA from 1 species
AUGAACGCUAGCGACAGGCUUAACACAUACAAGUACGAGGGGUAACAGGGUAGCAAUACCGCUGACGACCGGCGCACGGGUGAGUAACGCGUAUGCAACCUGCCUAUAACUGGGGAAUAGCUCCCUGAAAGGGGGAAUUAACACCGCAUAACACUAUUGAUUCGCAUGGAUUGGUAGUUAAAUGUAGCGAUACAGGUUAUAGAUGGGCAUGCGUGACAUUAGCUAGUUGGUGAGGUAACGGCUCACCAAGGCUACGAUGUCUAGGGGUUCUGAGAGGAAGGUCCCCCACACUGGUACUGAGACACGGACCAGACUCCUACGGGAGGCAGCAGUGAGGAAUAUUGGUCAAUGGGCGCAAGCCUGAACCAGCCAUGUCGCGUGCAGGAAGACUGCCCUAUGGGUUGUAAACUGCUUUUAUAGUAGAAGAAACACAUCUACGUGUAGAUGUCUGCCAGUAUACUAUGAAUAAGCAUCGGCUAACUCCGUGCCAGCAGCCGC